GAUGAACGCUAGCGGCAGGCUUAAUACAUGCAAGUCAAGGGGGUAGCAAUACAACCGGCGCACGGGUGAGUAACGCGUACACAACAUACCAUAUACUGGGGUAUAGCUUCGGGAAACUGAAGGUAAUCCCCCAUAAUAUUGCGGGAAGGCAUCUUUCUGCAAUUAAAGUUUCGACGGUAUAUGAUUGGUGUGCGUUUGAUUAGCUAGUUGGUAGGGUAACGGCCUACCAAGGCGACGAUCAAUAGCUGGCGUGAGAGCGCGACCAGCCACACUGGAACUGAGACACGGUCCAGACUCCUACGGGAGGC
rnacentral:rRNA from 1 species